rnacentral:lncRNA from 1 species
GGUCAGACGUGUCCUGUUGUUCGUUGUUCGGCUCAAUUCGCUCCAACCUUCCAGCAGGCGUUUCUUACGUACGUGACCUAUGACUCGACCGGCGAAUGUGGAGGGGGAGUUUGCCUCGGCCGUGAAUCAUCAGGCAAAGAAACCCGAGGUGACUUACAUUACGAUCGGAAAAUGCUCACGCGGAACAUUCGUCUCCAAUGGAUGUGGACAUCCAUGAUGGACAUGCGAUACUCCAUUUCAACCAAAAUUAGGAGCAAUGGAGCUC